rnacentral:rRNA from 1 species
UUUAUUGAGAGUUUGAUCUUGGCUCAGGACGAACGCUGGCGGCGUGCCUAACACAUGCAAGUUGAGCGAGGUUUCGAACCGAGCAGCAAACGGGUGAGUAACACGUAAGCAACCUACCUUUAAGACUGGUACAACCUGGAGAAAUCUGGGCUAAUUCCAGAUGUGACCCCGGUUUCAAAUGGAACUGGGAUUAAAUCCCGCAAGGGGCUUAAAGAUGGGCUUGCGUCCUAUCAGCUAGUUGGCGGGGUAAUGGCCCACCAAGGCAAUGACGGGUAGCUGGUCUGAGAGGACGAUCAGCCACAAGGGAACUGAGACACGGUCCCUACUCCUACGGGAGGCAGAAGUGAGGAAUUUUCCGCAAUGGGCGAAAGCCUGACGGAGCGACGCCGUGUGUGCGACGAAAUCCUUCGGGAUGUAAAGCACUGUCAGUGGGGAAGAUAUUGACGGUACCCACAGAGGAAGGCCCGGCUAACUACGUGCCAGCAGCCGCGGUAAUACGUAGGGGCCAAGCGUUGUCCGGAAUCAUUGGGCGUAAAGGGCGCGUAGGCGGUUUUGUAAGUCAGAUGUCAAAUCCACAGGCUCAACCUGUGAUCGCAUCUGAUACUGCAUUACUAGAGAAUGGUAGAGGAAAGCGGAACUUCCAGUGUAGCGGUGAAAUGCGUAGAUAUUGGAAGGAACACCAGUGGCGAAGGCGGCUUUCUGGGCAUUUUCUGACACUGAGGCACGAAAGCUAGGGGAGCAAACGGGAUUAGAUACCCCGGUAGUCCUAGCCGUAAACGAUGAACACUAGGCUUGCAAGGUACCCAAUCCUUACGAGUCGUAGCUAACGCGUUAAGUGUUCCGCCUGGGGAGUAUGCUCGCAAGAGUGAAACUCAAAGGAAU